rnacentral:rRNA from 1 species
GCAGAACGAACAGAGAA